rnacentral:rRNA from 1 species
GAAAGAUGAAAAGAACUUUGAAAAGAGAGUUAAACAGUACGUGAAAUUGUUGAAAGGGAAACGAUUGAAGUCAGUCAUACCAACGGGAAAUCAACCUUUUGAGCUUGGUCUUGUGGGUUUUGAAGAGUUUCAAAGCCUUCAGAUUCGCGGGAUUGGGAUCUCUCGGUGUACUUUUUCGUACGGUUAGUCAACAUCGGUUUUGAAUGUCAUAAAAUGACUGGAGGAAUGUAGCUUCGAUCUCGUAUUGAAGUGUUAUA